GCCCGAGGAAACAUGGGUGAGGUUACUUUAAGGCUUGGAGACUUCCCAGCUAAAGGAAGUGGGCCAGGGAAGGGCUAGGUGCUCUGACAUUCCAAAUAUAGUCUGCUUGGCCACUGAGGGAGAGAGAUUUGUUGCUAGCAACAAGUACUUAGAACGUGUGUGAUUUGGCAUGUCUUGAACUGUGAAGUAGAUGCAAUGCAGGCAAAAAAUCGAUGAUGCUGUGGGGAGGGGCUGUGCAGGGUGUUAAUCGCCAUCUGCAGUGCCUGGAGGUGGGGUGGGGAGAAGUGAAGAAUCUCUUCCUUUUUAAUAGAUUUUCAAGAUGGGAAAAUCAUAUUGCAACCCGCAGGCGUUUGGAAACAAUUGUGCCGAAGGCAGAAAGUAUACCUAACGUUAAGCUGAAAAAACUGGACGCUCCCAGCAAACUCACUUUGCAGAUUCCUGGAUGUCAGAAGAAAACGCCAGAGGAUUUCACUUGGCUUUGACCCCUUACUACUUCCAGCCACUUACCCUGGGCAGUAGAACAAAGGAACAGACAGCAGAGUAGCUUAAGAGGAGGCUCUGUUACGAGUUCAAGGUGUGUGGCUCCUUCCUGUCUGAUAAGAACCAUCCCCCAGUCUUGAGACAAACAGGUAAGUCACUUUGGCAUCCACAGUCAGAUGUCACCUGGGGUCACAGUCGCCUGUAUGUGGUGGAAAGUUCUAAGCAGUUGCAGUUGCUUUUGUGAUAUGCCAGUUGACUUGAAGAGAGAAGUCCAAAACCCAACAGGAAGAUGGAAUGACUGGGAACGAGGGGAGAAAACGGAAAAGCACAGUGGUGCUCCCCUGUGAAUGCAGCAUCUGUCUCACCUCCACGCAGUCUAGCAGAGCAGAGGGCAUGCGAACCGAAAAAUGUAAGGUGAGGUGACAGGAACACCCCAAAGGACCACUGACUGACACUAACUCUGGGACCAAUGGCAGGGCCCAGAGCACUGACAAAUCAACGGUGACCACACAGCCUUCUGUACUUGUGUCUCAUGGAUUGUGUCGGUAGAGUUUCUCUUACAUUUAAACAUACCUGCUCUGUAUAUGACUGACCCUAAGGUGGUCUUGAACUCCCAGUCUCAAGCAAUCCUCCCACCUUGGCCUUUCCAAGUCCUGGGAUCAUGGGUGUGAGCCACGGCACUGGCCAUGGGCACAUUCCACAGUUUUCUUCUAAUUAUGUCAUCUUACCUCUUGGUGAAAUGGACCACUCUUUGAAAAGCACAAAACGUCCUGCCAGUGAAAAUCCUGAUUUGCCCCAAUUUCUUAUUUUCAUGGAACGAUGAUAUGCGCAAGGAAGAAUUAAGAAGUACCUAAUGUCUGCAAGUGAGUUAAAAAAGAGUACUUUGUCAGGAACACAGGGUUAUUUUAUUAGUUACCAGCUGUUACUUAGGGAUCAUAUGCCCUGUGUAUGCCUUUAAAAGAAUACUUUUUUUUUUUUUUUUUUUUUUUUUUUUGUCAGGGCAAGCAAUGCCCUGACAGCCUAGAGCUAUUUGGUACUGUCUUAGUCACUUGGGCUGCCAUAACAAAAUAUCACACACAGGGUGGCUUAAACGAAGAAUUUCAUUUUCUCACAGUUCUAGAGGCUGAGAAGUCCAAGAUCAAGGUGCCAGUCUGAUUCCUGGUGAGGGCUCUCUUUCUAAUUUGCAGACAGCUGGCUUCUCGCUGUGCCCUCACAUGGCCUUUCCUCUGAGUGUGCAUGAAAAGAGACAGGGAGAGACAUCUCUGGUGUCUUCCUCUGCUUGCAAGUCCACCAGUCCGAUUGGAUUGGGGGUCCCCCUCUGUGAUCCCACUUAACAUUAAUUACCUCCUAAAGGCCCCAUCUCCAAAUAUAGUCAUAUUGGGGGGUUAAGAGUUUAACGUAUGAAUCUGGUAGGGACACAGUUCAGUUCAUAGCAAGCCCAGACAAGUAUAGCUGACUCAGGCUUGGACCGCUCCUCAUACAAGCCCUUUUCUGUUUCUACACACCCAGGUUCAGGUGUGCCCAAGCAGCAGCUGUAUCUGUUUAUCAGAGGGCUGCCCUAGAUCCAGAAAUAUUUUGACAGUGCAAUAAUGAAGAUUGGCUUCCUUCUAGAAAUGACAGUCCUUAACCAGUGAAUGACAGUGUCUGAUAACUCUGGAAAGAGGCCUGUAGAUUGUCACUUGGGGAGUCCAGCAGAAAACCAAUCCUGCAACUCCAGAAAGCUGGACAGUGAGCCCACAUUUUCCUAUACUGGGAGCGGUCAGCUCUCUCCUUCCUCCUGGCCCUGGAAGCCUCAGGACUGACUCCUAUUGCUCUGCAGAGUGGGCUGUGUUGGACACAGUGCAAAGAGUAAAACCAAUGACUCAAAUGGGGAGAACUACAGUUACCCAAGCUUCUCCUGCCUUCUCUUUACAUAAACUUCAAGAGCGUCUAGUUUAGGAGAAGCAUCCACAUUUCAUUCAACAUGACACGCUCCCUAGGAAACUUUCCACAGUGCCCACAUCACUAGAGGCUGGACUUGCUAUGAUCACCACGGCUCUUGGGCCAACCCUGGAAACACUCUAAAGACACAAGCUUGGCAAGAAGCCUAAAGAGAAAUACCCAGAAGUCCUAUGGGUUAUUGCAUCUCAAUGCACACUUCUCAGACAAGGACUCGUGGGAAGGCAGACACGACGGGAAAGGAGGUCUCAGGAAAGCUCUCCGAGUCCCAAUUCCUAGUCGUAGCUCCCCCUGUUGAAGGUACUGAUGGACUUGGAAUGGUGGACUGGGACCUGGAAUUUCAUGUACGGUUCACUUUCUACAAAGGGUGCUUCCCAAGCUUUGUGAAGGAAAGGAGAAGCUAUGUGAGAAGGAAAUAUAUGGAAGUGGCGAGAGGAAAGGAGAGGCAGUCAGUAGCAAGGUACGCAUUGUCAUGUCAUGACUUGAUUCAAGUUUUGCUGGACAGGCGCUUUAGGGCCUUGUUUUUGCCCUCAGCCCACAGAUCCGAGGGCGGCCUAGUGAGGCACAGCCCCCCCACCCCCCACCACAGGAGUGUUUGUUUGGGUUGGAGGAGGAAGUGUUAAAUUCCAACCUCAGCACAAAUCUUGAAGACUGCCAAUCCAGAACCUGAGGACUCCAAGUUCCCAGGAGAUAGUGGAGCUGUGAGAUUUCUGGAGGCUGGAAAGUCCAAGAUGGAUGCACCAGCAUGUUAAUUGCUCAGUGAGGGUCUAGUCUCUGCUUCCAAGAUGGUGCCUUCAAUACUGCAACCUCUAGAGGGAAGAAGAGAUGUGUCCUCACAUGGUGGAUGGCAGAAGGGCAAAAAGGGAUGAACUUCUUCUAUCAAGACCUAUUAUAAGGACAUCUAAUCUCACUCAUGAGAGUGGAACCCUUAUGUCCUAAUCACCUCUUCAAGGCCCUACCUUUGAAUACUAUCACACUGGCAACACCUGAAUUUUGGUUGGAUACAUUCAAGCCAUAGCAGAGCUUUGAUCCUUGAGUUAUCUCAUUGAGAAAAGUUGUGUGCCCACCAGGAAUACUUGCAUCAGACUGUUCUGUGGAUGGGAAAUAAAAUUCUGCUGUGUUAAG